CAGUCGCCGCGGUAAUACGAAGGGGGCUAGCGUUGCUCGGAAUUACUGGGCGUAAAGGGAGCGUAGGCGGAUCGUUUAGUUGGGGGUGAAAUCCCGGGGCUCAACCUCGGAACUGCCUUCAAUACUGGCGAUCUUGAGUAUGGGAGAGGUGAGUGGAACUCCGAGUGUAGAGGUGAAAUUCGUAGAUAUUCGGAAGAACACCAGUGGCGAAGGCGACUCACUGGCCCAUUACUGACGCUGAGGCUCGAAAGCGUGGGGAGCAAACAGGAUUAGAUACCCCCGUAGUCCCUGUCUCUUAUAC
rnacentral:rRNA from 1 species